AACGAACGCUGGCGGCAGGCCUAACACAUGCAAGUCGAACGCACCGCAAGGUGAGUGGCGCACGGGUGAGUAACACGUGGGAAUGUACCCUUUGGUUCGGAAUAACGUUUGGAAACGAACGCUAAUACCGGAUGAGCCCUGUGGGGGAAAGAUUUAUCGCCAAAGGAGCAGCCCGCGUCUGAUUAGCUAGUUGGUGGGGUAAAGGCCUACCAAGGCGACGAUCAGUAGCUGGUCUGAGAGGAUGAUCAGCCACACUGGGACUGAGACACGGCCCAGACUCCUACGGGAGGCAGCAGUGGGGAAUAUUGGACAAUGGGCGGAAGCCUGAUCCAGCCAUGCCGCGUGAGUGAUGAAGGCCUUCGGGUUGUAAAGGCUCUUUCGCACGCGACGAUGAUGACGGUAGCGUGAGAAGAAGCCCCGGCUAACUUCGUGCCAGCAGCCGCGGUAAU
rnacentral:rRNA from 1 species